rnacentral:snoRNA from 1 species
CACUAUGAUGAUACACCAAACAACAACAACGAAUUUCUUCAGCUGACUAUCAUAUGGAGAUAUAUAACUUUGACGCUUUUUAACCCUGAGU